GACGUAGGGGACGAGCGUUGUCCGGAUUCAUUGGGCGUAAAGCGCGCGUAGGCGGUUACGCAAGUCGGGUGUGAAACCUCCAGGCUCAACCUGGAGACGCCACCCGAUACUGUCAUGACUAGAGUCCGGUAGGGGAGCGUGGAAUUCCUGGUGUAGCGGUGAAAUGCGCAGAUAUCAGGAGGAACACCAGCGGCGAAGGCGGCGCUCUGGGCCGGUACUGACGCUGAGGAGCGAAAGCGUGGGUAGCAAACAGG
rnacentral:rRNA from 1 species